rnacentral:tRNA from 1 species
GGUGGCUCAGUGGUAGAGCGCUUGCCUAGCAUGCAGGAGGCCCUGGGUUUGAUUCCUUGGUACCA